rnacentral:lncRNA from 1 species
UACCGCUAUAAUCUAAGUUAUAUUGAAGCAAAAAAGAGUCUUUUCGUUGUUUAAGCGUUUUUAGGAAGAUGGAUUAUGUAAUUGGAUUGGAUGGAUACUGUAUUUUGGAUGAAUUGGAUGGAUACUUUAAAUAAGCAGCAAAAGAAUGGUUAAAGUUAGUUUAUAUAUAUAUGACUUAUCAAAAGGAAUGGCUAGCCAACUUUCUCUACCUUUACUUGG